rnacentral:rRNA from 1 species
CACACGACUCUCGGCAACGGAUAUCUCGGCUCUCGCAUCGAUGAAGAACGUAGCGAAAUGCGAUACCUGGUGUGAAUUGCAGAAUCCCGCGAACCAUCGAGUCUUUGAAUGCAAGUUGCGCCCGAGGCCAUUCGGCCGAGGGCACGCCUGCCUGGGCGUCACGC